AAAAAGGCGAACCCUGGGUUUCCGUGUCCAACUUUGACUGUCCGUCUUAUAUGAAAUUUUUUUAUAAUUCGUAUUUUUAUUGUUGUUAGAUGAUAAAACAUGAUUAAUACUUUGUGCGUGACAUAUCUUUUUGAUUUUUUUCAUAAUUUUUUCAAAUAAGACGGGCGGUCAACCGUUGGGCACGGAAACCAGGGUUUGUCUUUUU
rfam:Oryza glumipatula chromosome 8, whole genome shotgun sequence.